ensembl:lncRNA
UGGGCAGUGAGUUAAAGUGAGUCACAUCCUGUUUUCUUUCCAUAGUCUAACUUUAAACUAGAUUAUGUAAUUCUGUAAAAACCAUAUAGACACUGAGGAAGAACUACAUAUUUCAUAUCCUUUUUUAGAUAAUCAUGACGUUAGCAGUUUCCUCUUUUUUCUGGAAACAAAGUGGCACUAUAAAGUUUUAGACGACAUCGCGGAGACGCUUGAACAAGCGCACUGUUUGGACUCAAAGAGACGACCAAAAUAAUGAAGCUCCUGCUGCUCAUCCUCACGCUGAUGACAGGUCGUGGUGCCGAUGGUGAUGAUGAAGAUGAAGUGGAGGCAUGCAAACAAGGAUGGGUUCAAUUCAUCUGCAAAUAUCCUGGAGCAAAUAAAAAAUAUGACCACGUCAAUGUAGUUUUUCCCAAUAGAACAAGCUUACGAAGCUCUCUGAAGGAUGUUUGGGACAAUAAAGGCAGAUUUUCUCUGUACCAUGAUACAAAACAUAAAACUCUGAUGGUGGGCAUCAGAGAUCUUAAACAAGCAGACUUUGGGACGUACAGAUGUGAAUUUGAUCAAGGCUCAAACAGAUCUCCUGUCAAAAAGGAAUUGGAUUAUGAAAACUGCCAGCAGCCAUUUACUCAAACUGUGACCAGAGGAGCUAACAUCAAGUGUCAUUAUCCAGAUGUUGAUUUCAAGUCCGGGGUCCAGUUUUUCUGCAGAGGGGAGAAUUUCACCUGUAAGGAUAUUUUGUCAACAAAAGGUCAGAGGUUAAACGGGAAAUUCAGACUCACAAACACCAACAGAGGCUUCAACGUGUCCAUCAGUGGUGUUUCCUCACAGGACGCUGGUGUCUACUGGUGUGGAGUGGAAUCAAAGGAUGGAAGCUACAGAGUUUCACUCAAACAAAUAAAACUGGAGGUUGAAGACCCCUCCACUACAUCCUCCACUACAUCAUUGAAUCCUUCAUCUCCAGCCACCAAUUCUACAACCCAGACACCUCCUGUGACAGCUGGUUCUCCUUUAACUGUGGUCAUCACUGCGGCUGUCCUCGUUGCUCUCCUGCUACUUGUGGUUAUUGCGGUUUUCACCUACAAAUGUUUUUCAUGGUCAAAACACAGAAAGAAUGGAGAGGCACAGAACAAAGAAGAUAAUAUCUAUGAGGCAAUACACGAGUCUUCCCAGAAGUCCGUCACAAGACCUGCAAUGAAAACAGUUUAUGCCACUACCAACUUCCCCACAAACCCAGCUUUCUUCAUGCAUGAAUCCAAAGUCAAGGUUUAAAACAUCUCUGGUGAGGCUGACUCUGAUACAGAUUGUAGUCAGUGGAAACCAGGCCAGCAUGAUACGAAGUCUACAGCAAAUCAUCCAUCCAGAGUUUCAAUUGACAAUUUCUACUCCCUGUCGUUGCAAUGCCACUGCGGCACUGAGAAGGGUUAAGUCCUGACUGCUCCUCUAUUUACUGCUUGCUUUCUAGCUAUUAAAAUUUGAUGAUCUGGGAAAUUUCAAACCUUUUCUUGAUGCAUCCAAAAUCUAUAAGAACUUUUCAGCUGUACAGAUCUAGGGCAGUGACCUGGGUGGGAAUGAAUGUGAUUAUUUUGCCAGAUCCUAUGUUAUUUACGUUUAUAUUUUUUUCCUUUAUUUCACUUUUGUAAUCCUUCUCUUCUCUAUUUGUUUAUAUGUAUGAAGGAAAUAUUCUUAAUAAAAAAGCCAUUGUUUAAAAUGAUGAUCUGAAAAAUGUAAGAUGUAAAAAAUAUGCAAAAAAACAUUAAAAGAAUAGAAAGAAAAAUCAGAAAGAUGGCAGAAUACUUGUUCACAGCACUAUAUUAAAAAAUGCAAGCCUAUUAUAGGCCAGAAAAGGGAAGACAUGGUGUGUUUGCCACCCACAGUUACCUGGACAAGCAAGGACAGAGCAGGCAUCUGCCCCCCACUGUUGAUCCAAACCAGCAAAUCUACUGAAAGAUAUUAGGCUACGUUCAAACUGCAGGUCUUGAUGCUCAAUUCCGAUUUUUUGAUCAAAUCCGAUUUUUUUGUCUGCUUGUUCACACUACAAAUAAAAUGCGACAGCAAACGCGCUCUAGUGUGAACGCUCAAAGCGGCCGCAUGCGCAAAAGAAGACGUCACACACAACGCGCUCUGGUUAGACCCAGAGCAAACAAUAUUGUUUGACUGAUGGCCUUAAUAUAAAGACUUCGGACUUUACAUUUCCCAAUUUUUACUUUAAGUUAUUUUGUUAUUUACAUAAUAAUGUAAAUAACCUAAUAAUGAUCCUUAUUUCUGUUUUAGAGGAGCGCUGCUUCAAAGGAUAGCUGCAGAUUUCUGUCAGAAUCUGCAGAUUAUACAGUACAAAGAAAAUGUUCACGUUGUCUUCCCAACAGUUUCACUGACAUCUACACUGGAUGGCCAGGAAGCGUUCGCGGUGUCUUCUCCGGGGCUGAUAAUUAGCGUCUGUCUUGUGUCAGUGACGUAAAAGACGGAUUUAAUGCGACAUGACCGUCAAACAGCAGUCGCUUCCUAAAACAUCGGAUAUGUAUCGUGAUGCGCUUUCGCCUGCAGUGUGAACGUAGCCUUAGUGUCAUGGUUGGCUGUGUGGCAGGCAGGCAGGAAAAAAGGACCCAAACUUGACACUGAGAGAGACAUGAAGAAUAUGACACAAAACAGAGAAGACAGUGACUUAAACUGGAGGCCAGAACACCAAAUAAAGUAAAGAGAACAAAACUAAGAAUAACCCUUAAUACCAAAUCAAACCAGCACAACUCAAAAACCCAAACAAAUCAUAUAUUUAGAAAAACAGAAAAAGCUGGGUCACAAUGACCCAGAACCGUGACAAUUAGAGCUGCACCAGGAACCUUUUUAUGCUAUUUUUAAAAUUAUUAUUCAUUUGUUACUUCCCAAAUGUGCACUUUUACUUGCCUGUUCGCAGCUUUUUUUUUUUUUACCUUUGUUUCUGUUUUUUGUGGAUGGUCGCCAUGACGUCAGGUUCAGUCGAUGCUACUUUCAGCUGCUCCUUUGUUACAAAGGGUUUCCAAAGUAGGUUGCCAUUUUUUUUUUAUCCCCAUCCUGACACAACCCCCAUGGGAUGUGUUUCCUCCCAGGAUGAAACCAUUCAUGUUUUUAAUUAAGCAAUUCUUCUUCAUCGUCAUAUUAAUGAUUGUACCUUUUUAUUUUGUUCUUUUCUUUCUCAGUUACAGUUUGUAUUGUAGUUGAUUUGGAAAAUUUAAAAAAGCUUCUGAUGAUGCUAUUAAAAAAGUUUUGCAUUUGCAUCUCGUGUGGUCUUCUCAGUUUAUUACAAAUUGUAUGUGUUUAAAGACUAAAAAACAAUAUUUAGUGUUUGCACCAAUGCAUCUGAAUACAUCAAGACUUAACAUACAAUACAACAUAUUUACAGAGGAUGGUGCUGUCAGACUGAAAUCUAU